GACGAACGCUGGCGGCGUGCCUAACACAUGCAAGUCGAGCGAAGUGAGUACUACGGUACGAACUUAGCGGCGGACGGGUGAGUAACGCGUGGACAAUCUACCCUGUAGACUGGGAUAACACCUCGAAAGGGGUGCUAAUACCGGAUAAUGUCGAGAAGCGGCAUCGCUUUUCGAAGAAAGGAGAGAAUCCGCUAUAGGAGGAGUCCGCGUCCCAUUAGCUAGUUGGUGAGGGUAACGGUCCACCAAGGCGACGAUGGGUAGCCGGCCUGAGAGGGUGAACGGCCACACUGGAACUGAGACACGGUCCAGACUCCUACGGGAGGCAGCAGUGGGGAAUAUUGUGCAAUGGGGGAAACCCUGACACAGCAACGCCGCGUGAGCGAAGAAGGCCUUCGGGUUGUAAAGCUCAAUAGUAUGGGAAGAUAAUGACGGUACCACACGAAAGCCCCGGCUAACUACGUGCCAGCCGCCGCCGUAAAAC
rnacentral:rRNA from 1 species